GUAGGUGGCAAGCGUUGUCCGGAAUUAUUGGGCGUAAAGCGCGCGCAGGCGGUUCUUUAAGUCUGAUGUGAAAGCCCACGGCUCAACCGUGGAGGGUCAUUGGAAACUGGAGAACUUGAGUACAGAAGAGGAAAGCGGAAUUCCACGUGUAGCGGUGAAAUGCGUAGAGAUGUGGAGGAACACCAGUGGCGAAGGCGGCUUUCUGGUCUGUAACUGACGCUGAGGAGCGAAAGCGUGGGGAGCAAACAGGAUUAGAUACCCUGGUAGUCCACGCCGUAAACGAUGAGUGCUAAGUGUUAGGGGGGUUUCCGCCCCCCUUAGUGCUGCAGCUAACGCAUUAAGCACUCCGCCUGGGAGUACGGCCGCAAGGCUG
rnacentral:rRNA from 1 species